UGAGUAACGCAUAGGAAUCUACCCAGUCGUGGGGGAUAACCUGAGGAAACUCAGGCUAAUACCGCAUACGUCCUACGGGAGAAAGCGGGGGCUCUUCGGACCUCGCGCGAUUGGAUGAGCCUAUGUCGGAUUAGCUAGUUGGUAAGGUAACGGCUUACCAAGGCGACGAUCCGUAGCUGGUCUGAGAGGAUGAUCAGCCACACCGGGACUGAGACACGGCCCGGACUCCUACGGGAGGCAGCAGUGGGGAAUAUUGGACAAUGGGCGAAAGCCUGAUCCAGCCAUGCCGCGUGUGUGAAGAAGGCUUUCGGGUUGUAAAGCACUUUCAGCGAGGAAGAAAGCGUGCCGUUUAAUACACGGUACGGACGACAUCACUCGCAGAAGAAGCACCGGCUAACUCCGUGCCAGCAGCCGCGGUAAUACGGAGGGUGCAAGCGUUAAUCGGAAUUACUGGGCGUAAAGCGCGCGUAGGCGGCGUGUCACGCCGGGUGUGAAAGCCCCGGGCUCAACCUGGGAACGGCAUCCGGAACGGGCAGGCUAGAGUGCAGGAGAGGAAGGUAGAAUUCCCGGUGUAGCGGUGAAAUGCGUAGAGAUCGGGAGGAAUACCAGUGGCGAAGGCGGCCUUCUGGACUGACACUGACGCUGAGGUGCGAAAGCGUGGGUAGCAAACAGGAUUAGAUACCCUGGUAGUCCACGCCGUAAACGAUGUCGACUAGCCGUUGGGUCCCUUGAGGACUUAGUGGCGCAGUUAACGCGAUAAGUCGACCGCCUGGGGAGUACGGCCGCAAGGUUAAAACUCAAAUGAAUUGACGGGGGCCCGCACAAGCGGUGGAGCAUGUGGUUUAAUUCGAUGCAACGCGAAGAACCUUACCUACCCUUGACAUCCUGCGAACCCGGAAGAGAUUCUGGGGUGCCUUCGGGAGCGCAGAGACAGGUGCUGCAUGGCUGUCGUCAGCUCGUGUUGUGAAAUGUUGGGUUAAGUCCCGUAACGAGCGCAACCCUUGUCCCUAUUUGCCA
rnacentral:rRNA from 1 species